rnacentral:rRNA from 1 species
AUUGAACGCUAGCGGGAUGCCUUACACAUGCAAGUCGAACGGAGUGGCGAACGGGUGAGUAAUGUAUCGGAACGUGCCCAGUAGCGGGGGAUAACUACGCGAAAGCGUCGCUAAUCCCGCCUACUAUUGGCACGGCCGAUAUGGGCUUAGCUAGUUGGUGGGGUAAAGGCUCACCAAGUGGACGAUCCGUAGCUGGUUUGAGAGGACAACCAGCCAAACUGGGACUGAGACACGGCCCAUACUCCUACGGUAGGCAGCAGUGGGGAAUUUUGGACAAUGGGGGAAACCCGGAUCCAGCCAUCCCGCGUGGGCGAUGAAGGCCUUCGGGUUGUAAAGCACGUUUGGCAGGAAAGCGGUACCUGCAGAAUAAGCACCGGCUAACUACGUGCCAGCAGCCGCGGUAAUAC